rnacentral:rRNA from 1 species
GUUUGAUCAUGGCUCAGGAUGAACGCUAGCGGUGCGCCCAACACAUGCAAGUCGUGCGAGAAAGUCUGAACCCGCAAGGGGGAGGGCGAGUAAAGCGGCGAACGGGUGAGUAACACGUAACGAACCUACCUUCGCGUUGGGGACAACCACAGGAAACUGCGGCUAAUACCCAAUGGUCUCUUUUCUCAUAAGGGGAACGAGUAAAGACGCUUUUGUGUCACGCGAAGAGGGUGUUGCGGCCUAUCAGCUUGUUGGUGAGGUAACGGCUUACCAAGGCUAUGACGGGUAGGGGGUCUGAGAGGAUGGCCCCCCACAUGGGGACUGAGACACGGCCCUGACUCCUACGGGAGGCAGCAGUGGGGAAUCUUCGUCAAUGGGCGAAAGCCUGAACGAGCGACACCGCGUGAGGGAUGAAGCCCUUCGGGGUGUAAACCUCUUUUCUGGGGGAAGAAUAAGUGCAGGAGUGGAAUGCCUGCAUGAUGACGGUACCCCAGGAAUAAGGGACGGCUAACUCUGUGCCAGCAGCCGCGGUAAGACAGAGGUCCCGAGCGUUAUCCGGAUUCACUGGGCAUGAAGGGCGUCUAGGCGGUCUCGUAAGUCACCUGUGAAAGCUCCUGGCUCAACUGGGAGAGGUCGGGUGAAACUACGAGACUAGAGCCUCGGAGGGGAGAGUGGAACUUCCAGAGUAACGGUGAAAUGUGCAGAUACUGGAAGGUACCUCGAUAGCGAAGGCAGCUCUCUGGCCGACGGCUGACGCUAAAGCGCGAAAGCGUGGGGAGCAAACCGGAUUAGAUACCCGGGUAGUCCACGCCCCAAACGAUGUCAACUAGAUGUUGGAUCCUUUAACUGAGGUCCAGUGCCGCAGCUAACGCGUUAAGUU